UACGAAGGGGGGCUAGCGUUGCUCGGAAUCACUGGGCGUAAAAGCGCGCGUAGGCGGCUUUGUAAGUUAGAGGUGAAAGCCCGGAGCUCAACUCCGGAACUGCCUUUUAAGACUGCAUCGCUAGAACGAUGGAGAGGUAAGUGGAAUUCCAGUGUAGAGGUGAAAUUCGUAGAUAUUCGGAAGAACACCAGUGGCGAAGGCGACUUACUGGACAUCUGUUGACGCUGAGGUGCGAAAAGCGUGGGGGAGCAAACAGG
rnacentral:rRNA from 1 species